rnacentral:rRNA from 1 species
AUUGAACGCUGGCGGAAUGCUUUACACAUGCAAGUCGAGCGGCAGCACGGGGGCAACCCUGGUGGCGAGCGGCGAACGGGUGAGUAAUACAUCGGAACAUGCCCAGUCGUGGGGGAUAACACUUCGAAAGAAGUGCUAAUACCGCAUACGUCCUGAGGGAGAACGCGGGGGAUCUUCGGACCUCGCGCGAUUGGAGUGGCAGAUGUCAGAUUAGCUAGUUGGGGGGGUGAAGGCCUACCAAGGCAACGAUCUGUAGCUGGUCUGAGAGGAUGAUCAGCCACACUGGGACUGAGACACGGCCCAGACUCCUACGGGAGGCAGCAGUGGGGAAUUUUGGACAAUGGGGGCAACCCUGAUCCAGCCAUUCCGCGUGAGUGAAGAAGGCCUUCGGGUUGUAAAGCUCUUUCGGCAGGAACGAAACGGCGAGCUCUAACAUAGCUUGCUAAUGACGGUACCUGAAGAAGAAGCACCGGCUAACUACGUGCCAGCCGCCGCCGUAAGAC